UACAGAGGUCUCGAGCGUUAGGCGGAAUCACUGGGCUUAAAGCGUGUGUAGGCGGAUUGCUAAGUACCUUGUGAAAUCCCACGGCUUAACCGUGGAACUGCUUGGUAUACUGGCUGUCUUGAGCCACUUAGGGGCAACCGGAACAAACGGUGGAGCGGUGAAAUGCGUAGAUAUCGUUUGGAACGCCAACGGUGAAAACAGGUUGCUGGGAGUGUGCUGACGCUGAGACACGAAAGCCAGGGGAGCAAACGGG
rnacentral:rRNA from 1 species